rnacentral:rRNA from 2 species
AAAUUGAAGAGUUUGAUCAUGGCUCAGAUUGAACGCUGGCGGCAGGCCUAACACAUGCAAGUCGAACGGUAACAGGAAGCAGCUUGCUGCUUCGCUGACGAGUGGCGGACGGGUGAGUAAUGUCUGGGAAACUGCCUGAUGGAGGGGGAUAACUACUGGAAACGGUGGCUAAUACCGCAUAACGUCGCAAGACCAAAGAGGGGGACCUUCGGGCCUCUUGCCAUCAGAUGUGCCCAGAUGGGAUUAGCUUGUUGGUGAGGUAACGGCUCACCAAGGCGACGAUCCCUAGCUGGUCUGAGAGGAUGACCAGCCACACUGGAACUGAGACACGGUCCAGACUCCUACGGGAGGCAGCAGUGGGGAAUAUUGCACAAUGGGCGCAAGCCUGAUGCAGCCAUGCCGCGUGUAUGAAGAAGGCCUUCGGGUUGUAAAGUACUUUCAGCGGGGAGGAAGGUGUUGUGGUUAAUAACCGCAGCAAUUGACGUUACCCGCAGAAGAAGCACCGGCUAACUCCGUGCCAGCAGCCGCGGUAAUACGGAGGGUGCAAGCGUUAAUCGGAAUUACUGGGCGUAAAGCGCACGCAGGCGGUCUGUCAAGUCGGAUGUGAAAUCCCCGGGCUCAACCUGGGAACUGCAUUCGAAACUGGCAGGCUUGAGUCUUGUAGAGGGGGGUAGAAUUCCAGGUGUAGCGGUGAAAUGCGUAGAGAUCUGGAGGAAUACCGGUGGCGAAGGCGGCCCCCUGGACAAAGACUGACGCUCAGGUGCGAAAGCGUGGGGAGCAAACAGGAUUAGAUACCCUGGUAGUCCACGCCGUAAACGAUGUCUACUUGGAGGUUGUGCCCUUGAGGCGUGGCUUCCGGAGCUAACGCGUUAAGUAGACCGCCUGGGGAGUACGGCCGCAAGGUUAAAACUCAAAUGAAUUGACGGGGGCCCGCACAAGCGGUGGAGCAUGUGGUUUAAUUCGAUGCAACGCGAAGAACCUUACCUGGUCUUGACAUCCACAGAAGAAUCCAGAGAUGGAUUUGUGCCUUCGGGAACUGUGAGACAGGUGCUGCAUGGCUGUCGUCAGCUCGUGUUGUGAAAUGUUGGGUUAAGUCCCGCAACGAGCGCAACCCUUAUCCUUUGUUGCCAGCGGUUAGGCCGGGAACUCAAAGGAGACUGCCAGUGAUAAACUGGAGGAAGGUGGGGAUGACGUCAAGUCAUCAUGGCCCUUACGACCAGGGCUACACACGUGCUACAAUGGCGCAUACAAAGAGAAGCGACCUCGCGAGAGCAAGCGGACCUCAUAAAGUGCGUCGUAGUCCGGAUUGGAGUCUGCAACUCGACUCCAUGAAGUCGGAAUCGCUAGUAAUCGUGGAUCAGAAUGCCACGGUGAAUACGUUCCCGGGCCUUGUACACACCGCCCGUCACACCAUGGGAGUGGGUUGCAAAAGAAGUAGGUAGCUUAACCUUCGGGAGGGCGCUUACCACUUUGUGAUUCAUGACUGGGGUGAAGUCGUAACAAGGUAACCGUAGGGGAACCUGCGGUUGGAUCACCUCCUUACCUU